GAUGAACGCUAGCUUCAGGCCUAAUACAUGCAAGUCGGACGGGAUCUAGAUCUAAGCUUGCUUACAUUUAGUGAGAGUGGCGCACGGGUGCGUAACGCGUGAGCAACCUACCCAUAUCACGGGGAUAGCCCGGAGAAAUCCGGAUUAAGACCGCAUAACACGACGACUCGGCAUCGAGAUGUUGUUAAAUAUUUAUAGGAUAUGGAUCGGGCUCGCGUGACAUUAGCUAGUUGGUAAGGUAACGGCUUACCAAGGCUACUAUGUCUAGGGGCUCUGAGAGGAGAAUCCCCCACACUGGUACUGAGACACGGACCAGACUCCUACGGGAGGCAGCAGUAAGGAAUAUUGGUCAAUGGAGGGAACUCUGAACCAGCCAUGCCGCGUGCAGGAUGACUGCCCUAUGGGUUGUAAACUGCUUUUGUCCAGGAAUAACCACCACUACGUGUAGUGGCUUGAAUGUGCUGGAACAAUAAGGAUCGGCUAACUCCGUGCCAGCAGCCCCCCGCUAAUACGGAGGAUCCGAGCGUUAUCGCGGACUUAUUGAGCUUAAAGGGUGCGUAGGCGGCUCAUUAAGUCAGGGGUGAAAGACGGCAGCUCAACUGUCGCAGUGCCUUUGAUACUGAUGAGCUUGAAUGUGGUUGAAGAUGGCGGAAUGAGACAAGUAGCGGUGAAAUGCAUAGAUAUGUCUCAGAACUCCGAUUGCGAAGGCAGCUGUCUAAGUCAUUAUUGACGCUGAUGCACGAAAGCGUGGGGAUCGAACAGGAUUAGAUACCCUGGUAGUCCACGCCCUAAACGAUGAUAACUCGAUGUUGGCGAUACACAGUCAGCGUCUUAGCGAAAGCGUUAAGUUAUCCACCUGGGGAGUACGCCCGCAAGGGUGAAACUCAAAGGAAUUGACGGGGGCCCGCACAAGCGGAGGAGCAUGUGGUUUAAUUCGAUGAUACGCGAGGAACCUUACCCGGGCUUGAAAGUUACUGAAUUAUCUAGAGAUAGAUAAGUCCUUCGGGACAGGAAACUAGGUGCUGCAUGGCUGUCGUCAGCUCGUGCCGUGAGGUGUUGGGUUAAGUCCCGCAACGAGCGCAACCCCUAUGUUUAGUUGCCAGCAUGUAAUGAUGGGGACUCUAAACAGACUGCCAGCGUAAGCUGUGAGGAAGGUGGGGACGACGUCAAGUCAUCAUGGCCCUUACGUCCGGGGCUACACACGUGCUACAAUGGAUGGUACAGCGGGCAGCUACCUGGUAACAGGAUGCUAAUCUCGAAAAGCCAUUCACAGUUCGGAUUGAGGUCUGCAACUCGACCUCAUGAAGUUGGAUUCGCUAGUAAUCGCGUAUCAGCAAUGACGCGGUGAAUACGUUCCCGGGCCU
rnacentral:rRNA from 1 species